rnacentral:lncRNA from 1 species
UAAAACAAAAAAUUUAAAAAUAAUUAAAAGAAAAAAAUUAUUUCUCUGUGAAACACUUUUUAUUUGUUUCUAAGAGAAGAUGUUCUUGGCUCUGAUCGCUGACGAAGGAGACCAUGAAGAGGAGGAAGUCAAUGACGACAAGGACAAAGCCAAAGAAGGAGUCAAAGGUCUUGAUGAGGAACUGGUCGUGCAACGUCAAUCCCAAGAGCUUGGUAGCGGCCUGAACCAGUGGCGAGUCAGAGGAGACAUUUGGAGGCUUCAUUGAUCAAGUAUUGAGAAAGGUAUUGACAUUCUUUCUCUUUCAUUUGUGUUUGGAUAAUGUUCGAUAGAUUUAGGGUUUUUACGACAUACUUUAAAUGAAGGGAAUUCUGAGUGCUCAAAUCUCAGGUUGUGUUUUGGGUGGCUAAGAUGGGAUAUCGCAGUAUUUCAUGGUUGGUUGUGUCUGAAAUAUUGUAUGAAGAUUUGAUGUGAUGAAAAUGACCAGUGGUGUAGCAUGCGUUUUGAAAUUGGGUUUGUUUAGGUGAAAGUUAAGGAUGAUUGAGAAUCACGAGCAAGUAGGCUUCUUUUGUGAUUGAUGUUUUGAAACAAAAAUAAAAUGGAACAAGGGAAUAAAUAUCUUUCCAUAAUUAUUAGUAGUUUCAAACCUUGUAAUCUUUUGAUUCCACUCGGUUUUAGCUUGGAAAGAAUUGUGCCUAAUUUAAAUUUUGUGGACUGGGUCCUGAACCCCCUUUUAUGCAUUAGAAGCUAUUAGUAAUUUAAUAAGGGUAGAGAAAGACGGUUAUGGUAAAGAGAAGGUGUGUUGAGUUGUGUGGGAGCAUCAAGGCAGAGGUUUUCUAUUCGGGAAGGGUAUGAACCAGAAAAAUGUUCUGUUAGAACCCCUGCAGCGGUACAAUUAGCGCUCCAAAUGACUACCUCUAUGACCAAAGGCUGAGACAUGUUCCAGCAACACUGCGAUAAUGCAAUAAGCAUUGGCCAACCUUAUGGAGGUAGGUAUUGCAACAAGUGAAGUUAAGGAGGGGGAAGGAUUAUGUGGUUUGUGGUGCAUGUAGGAAGGAGGAAGAAAAUGAGGUGUAGGAAUCUAGAAUCUCCUAUGUAGACAAUGUAGUAUUUAUAUAGCUUUGUUUAGAGCACUAGCAACAGAGUAGGCUAUGCUAAUACACUAUGAAUCAAUGCCAAGAUGUUAAGAAGGGCAAACUGCAAAAAUUAUGCAAGUGAAGGAGCUGUUCAUUGGAUUUGCUAGGUAUGAUAUGCCAGUUUCUUUGUAGUGUAUCUGCUGUAGAAUUCUCCAGCACCUACAUCUGCCAAAUUUGCCAAGGUUGUGGAGUGCUACACUAUUUGCAGCACCUCAGUUUUGCUCUGAUAGUUCGUGUCAAUGUUGGUGGGUUUUGAGUUUUUUUUUACGGUUAAAAAGCAGCUAUAGUAGGUUGCAUUUUUGUGAAGACUACACAGUUGUUUAGGCAGUCAAGACUACAAAAAAAAUGCCUAAUUUAAAUUUAAAGUAUCAUACAUUUAUAUAAUAAUACCUCAAAAAUUAUUUAUUGUUGUAUUUGUUUCAAUGCAAUAAUGUUUUGCUAUAGAUAUUAAAUUGACUGUCUCCUUAUACUAGUACUUCUUAUUAUAGUUGUCAUUGUUUUUUAUAAUAUAAGAUUGUGUUCUAAGAAUACUGAUAUUGGGGUUUCUAAAGUCCCUUUGCCUCACAAAGUUGUCAUAUUGAUUAUGGUGCAAACAAAAAGUUGAAGUUAAUAUUUUGAAUGAUGUUUACAGGUAGCUUAAGUAUGAGCAGAAAGUGGUAAAGGAUAAUCCUCAUCCAAAGUUAUCGCAAGUAUGAGCAGAAAGUGGUAAACCUCAUCCAAGGUGAUCUAUCAAUCUAUUUUUCUAAAGUAUUAUGUGAAUUUUUAUAAAAAAGUUUCAUAUAUUUCUGAUACAUUGAAAGAAAAGUAUGCUCAUAAGAUUAUGCAGAGUAUGUUCAUAAGAUUGUGCAUAUUUGAAAAAAAAUAUGAAAUUAUACUUUGUGAUUGGAAUAAUAAACUCUUUAGUACUUAUGAAAUUGGUAAAACUUCAAAAUUCAAACAUAUAAUAAGUUUACAAUUUGUAUUUUAUUUCUUCUAAAUUUGCUUAAGGAAAGCAAUGUUUAUUCCCAUUCAUGAACUUUCUCAGUAAUAUGAAGUGAAAUUAUUUAAUGGUAGUGCGUUGGUCCUUUGGAAUUGUGGAUUUUGUUUGCAUGGUUUAAAGAAAUUGGGGUGUGUGUAAUGGGCACUUUCUCUAUGUGUUGAUGAGUAUUUCUUUUAUGUUUCUGUUUUGUCAUGCUAAAAGCUUAUUAAAGGCCAUCAUUUUCAUUUGUUGGACCUAGACAUUCCUUACGUUUAGGGACCCUUUGUAUCAUUGUUUUGAGGCAUUAUUUAUUCUCUCCAACCCCAUGCCCACCCCCUAACCUUCCUCUUUCAUCUAAAUGUGAUAAUCUAUUGCUUCCCUCCCUUUCUUAAACAUAUUAGACUAGUUAUAUCAUCUUAUUAAAUCUUCUUUAACAAGUAUUUUAAGAAGUUUUUAAUUGUAAAAGUUAUAAGUUUAAGAUUUAACUUUUAUAUAUUCUUGGUAAGGUUAGAUUGUUUGCAAGUAUUUACUAUUAAUAAAAAAAACAUUUUAAUCCUCAAAAAGUCUUAGAAAAAACUUUCAUUAAAGAUGGUGUAAAUUUAUAUUAUAAGUCAAAUUAAUUAAUCACGUUACAUGUUGAUUAUGUCGAACUUGGUCUUUUAUCUGAUAGUGUUUACUUUAUAUGGAACCUUGAAGGUUAUUACUGGAGAAAGCGGGUAACAAGUCCAAGUACAACUAUCCAACCAACAACAAGCAUCGAUAUCAAGACAUUGAUUAUGUACAUUAUUAGUUUAAGUUUUUUAUUUUGGAUUAUGUUUUGAAUUAGGAUUAGAAGUUGACUUACUUUUUUAUUUAUAUUAUCUUUGACUUAUUUUAUAUGAUGAGACUACAUAAGUGGAUUUGAAAUUAAUUGUAUUUUAUUUUAUGUUAGGUAUAUUGGAAGAUGAUUAAUUGUUGUAUUGAAUAUUAUAGGUUCAAUACAAUUGGUAAUAGAUGGUUUAAUUUGGAAAAUUUUGAUAUGUUGGAUGUUUUGGAUAGUUGAAUGUUUCAUUAUGCAG